CGCACGCAGCCCCACUGCAGCGGGGGGAGCGCCCGGAGGUUCCACGCGAGCAGAAAGCGAGCAGCCAGGAGCUCCGUGCCACGACUUCUUUAUUAGAAAGUACAAAGGGAAGCAUCCUGUGUGCCGGGUGGGCAUGGCGCUACGGGUGGGGGGACGAGAGGCGGCAGAGCUCCAGCCUACAGGAGCAGCACCGCCGCACCUCGUGUCGGCACCCGGCUCGCAAACAGCAUGGGGACAAAGCUAGACUACCACUGGGCCUGCACACACACCGAGCACAGAGCCAUUCUGGUUGGAAAAGACCCCGAUCCAACAGUCCAGCCGCCGAUCCAGCACCACAGGUGGGGUGAGGAGCUCUGACCAGCGCUGGUGGCUCCUGGGAGGAGCAGCAUCUGGGCUACAGCACCAGCCCCCAGCCCCCGUGCAUGCCCCUGCCGGCCGCCCCGGCUGCGUCUAACGAGAUGUGUUACAAAAUGAGACUCCAACACAGUAAAAAAGGAACAAAUAAGCAUGGAUCUACGUUAUCGUUUGGAAAUCGUCGUUAGAAAAAUAGUCUAAUUAUAAAAAUAAUCUGAAGGUAAGCACAGAGUAAGCAGUGCAGUUUUCUCACUGCCAGCCUCGCGUUCAGGCUUUUGAGCUGUUUGUUAAAGAGCCUCGUUAAACAAAUAUAUAGUUUUUCAAUAUAUUAUCAACAGUGCGUAUAUAAUUUAAUAUAGAAAUGACAAAUAGGCAACGUAAGACAGUAAAUUACAAGUGGUUAAUAAGUCCUGUAAGCAUCCUUACAGGAGGGCGCAGCGCCGGCCGCUCACAGCUCCAGCCCUGGGCCACGGCUACAGAGAAAGGCAGAAUCAUUGCGAGUCCCCUGGAAGUCUGCUGUUAAUAUGCCAUGUUUGUAUAAAUAUUCUAUUAAAGUUUAUAUAUAUAUGUAUUUAUAUACACACACACAAGGGCUUUUUUAUGAUGUAUAUGUAUCAAAUGACUUCCUCGACGGAAAGGCCCCCCGGCACACCUGCACAACCACGGACUGGGUGCAGUUUGGCAUUUUUUCCCCUUUAAGAAGGGAUGUAGGAAAGAGGCAGAUUCGGAGCGCCUGCACAGAUCACAGAUGAGCCCUCGGGUGGCAGAACCACACCUCUGAGCCACAGAGACACCGACGGUGAGCGUGUCGCCUCUGGUUCUUUGGACAGCUUCUCUCUUAAUACCAGCGGGGUAUUAAAACCAGCAGUCACUACCAUCAUUUCUCAAGGUAGCUGCUGCUCGAUAAUGCACUUCUAAGAGUGAACGUGCACAAACGCACAUCUGCAUGCUGCAGAGGGAGGCCCCGCUCUGUGUACACACGUGAUUACAACAAGUGUGACACCAGCACUGUUUAAUAAUGGGGAUUCCAACUCUUAGCCCGGCUCUGUUCUGCAGCACAGCCGGGCAGCUUUGGUGUGUGUGUGUGUGUGUGUGUGUGUGUGUGUGUGAGGCCACAGCAGGAGCGGAGCAGGAGCCACGGCUCCGCACAGGACCCCGCUCCUCUGGCCAAGGGAGAAGUGAUUGAGUGUGAAACCUCGCUUCCUACCGGAGACUGGGAGCAGAAGAAAAAUGCUUUAGAAAGCCUAAGAGAUCGUUUCUACACGUGAGAAGAGGACAGUGAAUACCAGAAGCAGGGAUGCCCAUCAGCAGCGGAUCCUUCUUGGCGUGUUCUUCGCAGUAGAGCAUUAGGUCUGCUGAUGCCUUUGACACCUGCAGAAGACAGAAGAUACGAUGGCCACUGUUUCCCCAUAACCGGCUCUAGGAGCGGAUGUGACCCUGCGUGGAGGGAGGGAUGCUGGGCCACCAGCACCUCGCAGCCCACACCCUAUUUCCUACAGGAGACAGAGCCCUGUGCCUCGCCCUGGGGCCAGCCCUAUCCGCAGCGGGGAGCUCCUCCAGCUGCUCUGGCACUGGUUUGUGACAUGAGGCAGUAGGAUGGCUCUGCUCGUACAGGGCUUCUGCAGAAGACCAAAAACAAACAGGAAGGGCUCAAAAUCGUGCAGCAGGUUUGCAAUAAGGAACUCAUUGUCUGUAAAGCUGGGGACAAUAAACACAAGUGUCCUCGGAUGACUUAACGCUUUCUAGAAC
rnacentral:lncRNA from 1 species